AGAGUUUGAUCCUGGCUCAGGAUAAACGCUAGCGGCAGGCCUAACACAUGCAAGUCGAGGGGCAGCGGGUGGAGUAUUUCGGUACUCCUGCCGGCGACCGGCGCACGGGUGCGUAACGCGUAUGCAACCUACCUUUAACAGGGGGAUAAUCCGAAGAAAUUUGGUCUAAUACCCCAUAAUAUCAUUUAAGGCAUCUUAGAUGGUUGAAAAUUCCGAUGGUUAGAGAUGGGCAUGCGUUGUAUUAGCUAGUUGGUGAGGUAACGGCUCACCAAGGCUACGAUACAUAGGGGGACUGAGAGGUUUUCCCCCCACACUGGUACUGAGACACGGACCAGACUCCUACGGGAGGCAGCAGUGAGGAAUAUUGGUCAAUGGACGCAAGUCUGAACCAGCCAUGCCGCGUGCAGGAUGAAGGUGCUAUGCAUUGUAAACUGCUUUUGUACGAGGGUAAAUGCAGGUACGUGUACCUGUUUGAAAGUAUCGUACGAAUAAGGGUCGGCUAACUCCGUGCCAGCAGCCGCGGUAAUACGGAGGACCCGAGCGUUAUCCGGAUUUAUUGGGUUUAAAGGGUGCGUAGGCGGAUUAGUAAGUUAGAGGUGAAAGCUCGAUGCUCAACAUCGAAAUUGCCUCUGAUACUGUUAGUCUAGAGUAUAGUUGCGGAAGGCGGAAUGUGUGGUGUAGCGGUGAAAUGCUUAGAUAUCACACAGAACACCGAUUGCGAAGGCAGCUUUCCAAGCUAUUACUGACGCUGAUGCACGAAAGCGUGGGGAGCGAACAGGAUUAGAUACCCUGGUAGUCCACGCC
rnacentral:rRNA from 1 species